rnacentral:lncRNA from 1 species
GGACCCCCUCGCGCAGCGGCUGCCGGAGUUCCCGGGCCGCCGCGCCCGCCCUCCCAGUCCCCGGGGCUCGCAGCCCGCACGCCGGACACCGCCGCCCUCCACAGACUCCGCCCCACGGCCCCUCCUGGGCCCUCCGUGCGAGUCCUCGCGCCAGCACCGCCAGGACCGAGGUCCCUUAGGGCUCGGCGGCCCGAGCCUCGCCGCGGAAGGGGAGAGCGCUGGGCGGCGGCCCCCUCCCGGGCGGCGGGCUCCGGGUCCUGCAGCUCCGCGGGCCGCCGCUGGGGGCUUUGGCGCGGGAGCCGGCGGGGACGGGGACGGCGCGCUCGGCCGCAGGUUCCGGCGCCUGGGCCGCUCGCUUCUUCCCUCGCCGCGCUGCCUCCGCAGCCCGGCUGGCUUCCUCCUGGAUCUGUGCGUGUGACCGCCGCGUGUGUGUGCGUGCGUGCAUGUGUGUGCGCGUGUGUAUGUGAGAGGGAGGAGCGCGCGCGUGGGGGCAGUGUGCACACGGGGAGUGCGGGGGAGUGUGUUUGUGUGUGGGGGUGGGUGUGAGUGCCCGGCACACACGCACGCACACACACACACACGCACACUCCGGCAGGCUCGUCUGAACUUGAAGACACCCCGCAUUCCAAGAUGCCCGAGGUUCCUGGGAAUGCCCAGGGUUCUGCGCUCCGGAAAAUCCCGCUGGCAUCUUCCUAAGAAGGAAUUAUCUUCUCUUUGCUUUUUUUUUUUUUUUUUUUAAUCUGGAGGAGAGGAGAACAAGUUGUGCUUUCCCCUCCCCUUCUUCCUGGUAAAUGCCAUGGAUAUAUCCGAAUAAGCCGCUCAGGGCUCUCCCCGCGUGGACGUCGGAGGCCACCAUCUGCCCGCAGUCGCCGGAGCCCGAGGGCUUAGUUGGAGCCCGACUUGGGCGAGGGAAGGAUGCGCGGCCGAGCCAGGGAGCCCGGCCGCCCCGCGGAGCCGGCCUCAGAGCCUCCCAGCCGGGGGUAGAUGCUGCCCUGCCCAGAAUUCGAGGAAGAGAAUGUUGGUAAAGGCGUGGGCAGUCCACAGAGGCUGUGGGAUGCCAGGACCAGCAACUGGGAAGGUUGCUGCCUGCCCCAGCCGGAGGGGAAAGCAGGACAAGAACCCAGGCACAGAAGGGAGGAGCCGCCGUCAGGCCCUUCACACGCAUCAGCUGGUGCAGCCGAGGGGCAGAGCCCAGCUGGUAGAUGGCAGAGCUGGGACUCAAACCUGGGUCAGCAGCUCCCGAUUCAUCACUCUGGAUGUCACGCCUUCCCGGUCGGCGGGUGCUGGCCUCCUGCGGGGACAGCAUCCCCCCAGUCCAGCAGGUGACUUCUCUCUGCCACCGUUCCCUCCAGCAGGGGAAAA